ACCGAACUUUCAAGUUUCAAGAAUAAAGUUUUGUUGCAAAUUAUUGAGAAAGAAAGUUCAGAAAUUCUAAAAAAUGUUGUGAGGUAAAUUGCAGGCGAAUAUCGCUUUCCAUUUUGUUAUUUGCUAUGCUAGAAGCUCGAUGAUGAUAGUCUGUUUUAUCAAACGGCUCUGGUUCUAUCCAAAGGCUAUUGUAUUCACAAUAUACACUCUGACUUACAAUGCCUUUCAAUCCGAUUCACCGGUUGCUGAUUGUGCAUUUGAACCCAUAAUAUGGAUCGUUGAUCACUUUGCUGGAUGGCUAGGACGGGGCUUGGUCAUACUAGUGAGCUUCUUAAUAUCUGGUGUUGUGGUGAUAUUUUAUGUUUAUGUGAUGCCAAUUGUCCUUGAAUAUGAAAGCACCAUGUUUAGUAUCUGUCACUUGAUCUGUGGUCACUGGCUGUUGUUGAACAUCUCAUUUCAUUAUUACAAAGCUGUUUCAACUAAUCCAGGUUAUCCACCUUCUGGAAAAAAAGCUGUUGCCCUUAGAGAUAUACAAGUUUGUACAAAAUGUAUUCAACCCAAGCCACCAAGAACUCAUCAUUGCAGUGUUUGUAAUAAGUGUAUUCUAAAGAUGGACCACCAUUGUCCAUGGAUUAAUAAUUGUGUUGGACAUUUCAACCAUAGAUAUUUCUUCAUGUUUUGUGUCUACAUGUGUCUUGGGACGAUUUAUGUGUCCCUCACGUUAUUUCCAACAUUUUUCAGUCAUUUUGACGAUUUUGCUAAGAACAUGUUUAAAGAGUAUUUUAAUAUCGGAAUUCCUCGACCCACGACGGCUGCAGAAAAAUAUUUUUUAAAACGUCAUCUAGAACCAAAAAUUACAAAACCAGAGGAAGAAAGCUUACAUAAUAUAGUCAUAUUUGAAUUUAUGUUGUGUUCUUGUGUGGCUGUGGCCGUUGGAGCACUGGCGGGCUGGCACAUGAUUUUAAUAACGAGAGGAGAAACGUCUGUAGAAGUUUAUAUUAACAGAGCCAAGAGAAAGAAAAUGAAGAAGGAAGGAAAAACAUUUUUUAAUCCAUUUCAUUACGGAAUGAUCAGAAACUGGAAGAUUGUACUAGGUCUUGGUCAUGGCAGGGGGCUAUGGUCGAUCAUCAUGCCAUCUUCCCAUCCACCAAAUGGCGAUGGCGUAAGUUGGCCGAGACCAGAAGGGUCAGAACUUAAUGAUGCAUCCACCAUAGGAAAUGAUAAAGCGGCAUUUUUGGCGUAAAAUUCCAGCGUCUUGGCGUAGUAUUUUAAGAUGGAACGUUUAAAUGAAUUUAGAGGUUUGGCACGUGAGAAGCACGACGUAUCAUGUAUGAAGCAGGCCUGCCGAGACAUUCAACCAAGGUCCAAGGAGGAGAAUUUUUACUAUCUUGGUCAAGUUUAUACAAUACUACAUUCAUUCGGCCAUACUGUUAAAAUAAUU
rnacentral:misc_RNA from 1 species